AGAAGUCAAAAUGCGGCUGCUUGCGAUCUCAAUUUUGAUCGUGAUCGCGGCCAAAGCCGUUCUGGCAUCGGAUGAUACCUGCAGUGGUCCUUUAAUUAAAACGUGCGGCAAGUGCAUUUCCACGCCGGGAUGUGCGUGGUGCGAGUCUGGGAACUCAUCCAGGUGUGGAAAAGCAGCAGACCAACAAUGGUGCGAUGGAAACUUUACCAAUCCGCAAAAAGUUAUUCGUGCUUUUCAGGACAAUCCUCUGAGCACAACCGCCGGUCGGAUUGUCCAGAUCAAACCGCAGAAAAUGUCCAUAAAAGCAAGGCCAGGUUAGAGAGGAAUUAAGACACUUCAGGACUCUUUUUUAAUCGCUAUUUAAAACAAAGGGCAAAGGGUGCAAUUUGAUCUUCAUUAUCAACAGGCGAUAGAUUAUCCCCUGGAUUUAUACUACUUGAUGGACAUGUCACAUUCCAUGAAGGACGACAAGGACAAAUUGUCCGCCCUGGGCUCUAAACUGGCAAACGAAAUGAGAAGAAGAUCGUCCAAUCUGAGAAUGGGAUUUGGCAGUUUCGUGGACAAAGUCACGAUGCCAUUUUCAAAUACACUGAUCACAACACCUUGUGACGGCUGUGUUCCACCUUACGAAUUCAUAAACCAUUUGAGCCUCACAGACAAAACGGACAAUUUCACG